rnacentral:sRNA from 1 species
UGAUAUAAGCGUCAUAAUACAUAAUGCUUACAUGCUUGCAUGAUAAGCAUUAUGUAUUGAUGACCUGAACAAACAUGAGGAAAAAAGCAAUUUACGAAGUAAAUAGCGAUUUCCGAAUGUUUGCAGGAUUGCGAGAGUUUCGCAGAAACGUAGCAAUCCGUAUAUCA